GGAGANGCUGGNNNUUCCUUUAACACAUGCAAGUCGAGCGCCCCGCAAGGGGAGCGGCAGACGGGUGAGUAACGCGUGGGAAUCUACCCAUCCCUACGGAACAACUCCGGGAAACUGGAGCUAAUACCGUAUACGCCCUUNGGGGGAAAGAUUUAUCGGGGAUGGAUGAGCCCGCGUUGGAUUANCUAGUUGGUGGGGUAAAGGCCUACCAAGGCGACGAUCCAUAGCUGGUCUGAGAGGAUGAUCAGCCACAUUGGGACUGAGACACGGCCCANACUCCUACGGGAGGCAGCANUGGGGAAUAUUGGACAAAUGGGCGCAAGCCUGAUCCAGCCAUGCCCGCGUGAGUGAUGAANGCCUUAGGGUUGUUAANNUCUUUCACCGGAGAAGAUAAUGACGGUAUCCGGAGAAGAAGCCCCGGCUAACUUCGUGCCAGCAGCCCGCGGUAAUACNAANGGGGCUAGCGUUGUUCGGAANUACUGGNCNUAAAGCGCA
rnacentral:rRNA from 1 species